rnacentral:rRNA from 1 species
UAGUUUUAAUUAUUAAUAAUAUUCUUUUUUAAAAUAUAAUUAUUUUAAUAUUUGGUCCUUUCGUACUAAAAUAUUAUAAUUAAUUANAGAUAGAAACCAACCUGGCUUACGCCGGUUUGAACUCAGAUCAUGUAAGAAUUUAAAAGUCGAACAGACUUAAAAUUUGAACGGCUACACCCAAAAUUAUAUCUUAAUCCAACAUCGAGGUCGCAAUCUUUUUUAUCGAUAUGAACUCUCCAAAAAAAUUACGCUGUUAUCCCUAAAGUAACUUAAAUUUUUAAUCAUUAUUAAUGGAUCAAUUAUUCAUAAAUUAAUGGUUUUAAAAAUUAAAAGUUUUUUAAAUUUUAAUAUCACCCCAAUAAAAUAUUUUUACUUUAUUAAAAUUAAAUUAAUCCUUUAAAAUUAAAAUAAACAGAAAUAUAAAGAUUUAUAGGGUCUUCUCGUCUUUUAAUAAUAUUUUAGCUUUUUGACUAAAAAAUAAAAUUCUAUAAAAAAUUAAAAUGAAACAGUUAAUAUCUCGUCCAACCAUUCAUUU